rnacentral:misc_RNA from 1 species
AAGUCGUAACAAGGUUUCCGUAGGUGAACCUGCGGAAGGAUCAUUAUCGUGGGGCUCCGGCCCCGUCGAGAUAGAACCCUUGCCUUUUUCGAGCACCGCCCGUUUCCUCGGCAGGUCCGCCUGCCAACGGGGACUCAACCAAACCCUUCGUAUCCCUGAAGCGUCUGAACAAAAACAAAUAAUCAAAACUUUCAACAACGGAUCUCUUGGUUCUG